rnacentral:rRNA from 1 species
UACGUAGGGGGCGAGCGUUGUCCGGAUUUAUUGGGCGUAAAGAGCGUGUAGGCGGCCAGAAAAGUCCGCUGUGAAAACUCGAGGCUCAACUUCGAGCUGUCGGUGGAAACUUUCUGGCUAGAGUCCGGAAGAGGAGAAUGGAAUUCCUGGUGUAGCGGUGAAAUGCGCAGAUAUCAGGAAGAACACCCGUGGCGAAGGCGGUUCUCUGGGGACGGUACUGACGCUGAGACGCGAAAGCGUGGGGGAGCGAACAGG